UUACGACCAUAUCACGAUGAAAUACCGGUUCUCGUACGAUCACCGAAGUUAAGCAACGUCGAGCCUGGUCAGUACCUAGUAGUACUCGAGAAUACCAGGUGCUGUAAG